rnacentral:rRNA from 1 species
AACGAACGCUGGCGGCAUGCCUAACACAUGCAAGUCGAACGAGGGCUUCGGCCCUAGUGGCGCACGGGUGAGUAACGCGUGGGAACCUGCCCUGUGGUACGGAAUAACUCCGGGAAACUGGAGCUAAUACCGUAUGUGUCCUGCGGGACAAAGAUUUAUCGCCAUGGGAUGGGGCCCGCGUAGGAUUAGCUUGUUGGUGGGGUAACGGCCUACCAAGGCAACGAUCCUUAGCUGGUCUGAGAGGAUGAUCAGCCACACUGGGACUGAGACACGGCCCAGACUCCUACGGGAGGCAGCAGUGGGGAAUAUUGGACAAUGGGCGCAAGCCUGAUCCAGCAAUGCCGCGUGAGUGAUGAAGGCCUUCGGUUG